rnacentral:lncRNA from 1 species
CAACUCCUUAUUGAGGAGAUUAUUUACCAAGGCCCCGUUUGGAUACUCCUGAAAAUGUAGCAUAGUUAAACUAUACUACGGCAGUAGAAAAAAUAUUCUAUGAAGUGUUUGGGAGGAAAAAAAAGUAAUGUAAUUUUUGGAGUAUAGUUAAACGUACUAUAUUCCAAAAAAUGGAGUAAAAGUAUAAUCUAUUCUAAUCAAAGGAAAAAAAUUCCACCAUUCUUGAGCUCCCUUAUUCAAAAAAAUGCAUCAAGUUUAAACUUUUAAAUUUCAACAUAAAAUUUUAAAUUUCAACUUUCAAAUCUCAUAGAUCAAAUCUCAAAUUUUAAACUUUAAAUUCUAAAUUUAUUUUUUAAAAUUUAAAAUUUAAAAUUUAAAAUUCUAAAUUUCAAAUUUCAAAUUUUAAAUAUCAAAUUUUUUAUUUUAAAUAAAAUUUCAAAUAUAAAUUUUAAAAUUUAAAAUUUAAAAUUUAAAUUUCAAACUUUAAAUUUAAAAUUUUAACUUUUAAAAUUUAAAAUUUAAAAUUUAAAAUUUAAAUUUCAAAUUUGAAAUUUCAAAUCUCAAAUCUUGUAGUUCAAAUUUCAAAUUUUAAACUUUAAAUUUUAAAUUUAUUUUUUAAACUUUAAAUUUAAAAUUUAUUUUUUAAAUUUAAAAUUUAUUUUUUAAAUUUCUAAAUUUCAAAUUUCAAAAUUCAAAUUUUAAAUUUUUUAUUUUAAAAUUUUAAAUCUAAAAAUUUAAAAAUUAAAUUUACAUUUUUAUAAUUUAAAUUUUAAAUUUUUAAAUUUUAAAUUUGAAAAUUUAAAAUUUAAAAUUCAAAAUUUAACAUUUCACAUAUCAAAUUUUAAAUUUUAAAUUUUAACUUUUAAUUUUAAAAUUUAGAAAAAUUUAGUGAAAUUGUAAAAUGCGUAUCCAAACAGUUUAAAAAUUGAAUCCGUGGAAUUUUUUAGAGUUGCAGGAUUCUCUAUUUUAUCUAGACUAAAACCACAGUUUAUAAAUUUCGUGAAUAACUUUUACUGUGCAUCCAAACAGGCCCUAAUUCUUUUUUGGUUUCUAGUAAAACUAAUAAAAACA